GUAUAUCUCACGCCACCAGAGCUAGUUUUAUUUCUGCUUUUAUAGUUUGUGCUGUCUCAUGCAAAAGUUCUUAUGGGUGCUCGAGGCAUAUAAUUAAUAUCUGAGUCCGGCGGUAGAAUUUUUUGUUCGGCUUAAAGUUUUGAAAGGUAGCUCUAGGCUAACGUUUUCUUACCAGUUGCGCACUAAUGUUGCCCAACUUGAGGAAGUUUGUAAAGGUGCUCGAGGCUAACGUUUUCUUACCAGUCUGCCGUUCUGCUCAACUUGAGAAAGGUAUGCAUUGAUAUUUUUGUAAUCAUUAACUUAUAUUAACGGAUAGCCUUUUUUUAGUUUUAAGGAUGCUGGAGCCUCUUAUGUCAAUCAUCAUUCAGUUCAGAAGUACAUCUCGUCGUGACGAAUCUACUCGCAACAGACGCCAGGAAGAGACACAGAAUACAAUGAAUGUCAUUUAGUGCAUAAGUGUGUAAUUUGACUCUGGAAACAUUAAUAAACGCAAUAUUUA